GCAGUGAUAGGUGUACCACCAUAGGUGGCACUACACCUUAUACCACCCUUAUGUGGCACCACAAAUAAUAAUAAAAAAAUUAAAUCAAUUCCAUGUCAAAAAAGAAAAAUCAAAGAUGAAAAAACUAAUUAAAAUUUGUGCCGUACCCUACUACCCUCUCUCAUUUCAAUUCAUUUUGUUGGAAAAUUUCUCUUUCUUCACCACCAUUCAUUCCUUCAACCCUAGCCGCCGUCUCCUGAUCCAUCUUCCAUUCAACCCUAGCCGCGCCGCCGUCUUAUGCUCCAUCUUCCGUUACACCCUAGCCGCGCCGCCGUCUCCUGCUCCAUCUUCCAUUCAACCCUAGCGCGCGCCGCCGUCACCUGCUCCAUCUCCGACGAUCUGUUUCACAGUGUUCCUUUUUCAACUAAGUUACGUCUCAGGCAUGAAUGUAAGUCGAAGUAUAUUACUAAAGUCAACGAGAAGCUUACCGAACUUCAAAGGUCUGAAAUUCAGAAAACACCUUUUAAAUGGUUAUUGAGUUUGCCUAAGAAAUUAAAAAUAUCCGAAAAUUUGCUUGAAGAAUUGGUGGAAAGAUGGGAUGAUAGGAGUGGGGGGUUUGCUAUACAAGGUCGGAUAAUACGGUUUACACCUUUAGAUGUAUGUUUUGCAUUAGGACUUCGUAUAAUAGGUGAAAAGAUGAACUUCAAAAAUGACCCUACAUCCACUACGAAAGCAAUGUUCGAUAAUGAAGUCAUCAAUGUAAAAACAAUUUAUGCUAAAAUUAUUAAUAUGGAACGAGACGAAGAUGUUGAGAAGUUUUGCCGACUUUAUUUACUUCUUGGUUUUGCCGAGUUCUACUUUCCAAAUUCAAGUGUUAAGGUUGGUGGUUGGUGCCUAAAAAUGUUAGACGACUUGAACUUCAUUGGGAGAUACAAUUGGGACUUGAACUCCAUUAGGUAUGGGCUCUAGAGCAUGUACUAGGAUACGAACGAAGUUAUCAUGAUUCUCCAUUGACGUUUCCAUGAUUUAUGAAGGCACGUGGUGUUAGUUUGGUUGGCAAAAAUAUAUCACACUUGCUUGAUAAUUAUUUGGUUAUUGAAGAGUUAAGUGCAACUAAAGAAGAGGUUGCAAAUGAAGUUGUGAGGGAGGCGUUAGAUCGAGCGCCAAGUGGAUAUAUUAAAUGGAGACCAGAUCCUAUUAUCAGUCAGUUAAUUGUUAACAAUUGCCUGUUGGGGGAAGCAAACAAAGGACUUUCCGCAAGGAUAUCUCUUCUUGAAUUGGAAACUAGAGAGAUGAAGAAGUUAUACGGUAGUGCACAAUCCAGUUAUGUGGACGAAGGUGUCUUCAAUGAUGAAGGUGUCCACGAGGACGUCUCCAUGGAUGAGAUUGAAAGAGUUAUUGAAAGGGAGGUGGCAAAUGUAUCAUAUGAUGUAGCACAUCAUGCAUCAAAUCUCUUAACUAUAAUUAAGGACAAGCCAAGAAACCGUGUAAAAAGUGGGGUUCUGCUUUCCCUAUGGGUGAAGGAUGGACGCAUAAAGAAGAAGAUUUAAAUUAGUGUAGUGUUUUGAUAUGAUUGCAAUGUAGAUGUUUUUUUAUGCUAUUUUUUAUUUAGUAGGACAAUGUCGCACCUAUAAUAUUAAUGGAAACACCGUAUGUUGUUAGUUAUUAACAUUGUUGAACUAUCCUACAGUUUAAUGAGUCACUGUGCCUGUUAUGUAAUAAAUUUUAUUGGGAGGUUUGUUGUUA